rnacentral:lncRNA from 1 species
AUAAGGUUUGUGCGGGGUACAAAAUUAAAAAAAUCAGAUAGGUACAUAUUUUAUGCCAAAACUUUUUGCAUAUUCGUUACAACUAAAAUUCCGAGAAGCUUAUUCUAAAAUCACUAAAGCACUUAGAGAAAAGAAAACACAAAUUUCGAUACAUGGCACCCAGACUUCCAGAGUUCUAUAACUAUAAAAAACGAAAAAUCUUUUUUUUGACCCACCACGUUCCUUUCGGCGUUUAGUUCAUUGAUGAAUAAUCUCAUAUAAUACAGUUAUCUAAGAAUCUGCAUAUUGCACCUGUGUCUUUAUUACCAUCUUCAAUUUUGGCUCUCUCAGCAUUAGCAAGAGCGCCACAAGGCAGUUUGAAUUACUCUGUAAUCGAGAGUGGAUUUGUGAUAAGUCCCAUUCAUUUUUAAAUAUUGCACUAACAGCUAACAUUUGUGAGAAUGCAUUUGUUGCCAAGAAAAAUUACUCAAGUAAAACUUCUCCAAUAUCAUAACCUGUGAUAUGCCAGAUUGUAAUGAUAUGCCGAUAUGCUGAACACGUCUCGACACUGGGAACCGAGCGAUUCUCUCAAUUCGCGCAGAUGCCCCCACUGAGUUCCACCUCUCCCAGACAACACCGGCACACGGAUAUUUAAGAAGGUCGCAAGCAGAAAUCAGUCAGUCCUGAACGAUCGUUCUGGGCUCCAUAACCAACCAAGUGAAGUGAGCGAGGCAGGCCGACCUGAGUCGCGACGUGCACCGUUUUGACGUGAUUCGCAAACUUAGGCAGGCCAACUCGAGACGCAAGUGAGACGCCUAUCCGGGGAGGACUUCGCUGGGACGGAAUAGAAAACUGAAUUAUUAUUUUGACUUAUUUUGUAUAUAAUUUAGAAUUAAUAGAUUUGCUUUAUUUUCAA